CGACGAGCAAUAUGAAGGUCAGGCUGAAGACCUUACCCGAUUAGCUGAGAGGUGGUGCAUGGCCGUCGUCAAUUCGUACUGUGAAGCAUCCUGUUAAGUCAGGCAACGAGCGAGACCCACGUCCACAGUUGCCAGCAUACCCUCCGGGGUGAUGGGUACACUGUGGAGACCGCCGCUGCUAAAGCGGAGGAAGGAGUGGGCAACGGUAGGUCAGUAUGCCCCGAAUCUCCCGGGCUACACGCGGGCUACAAUGGUUGGUACAAUGGGCAUCUACCCCGAAAGGGGAAGGAAAUCUCUUAAAGCCAAUCGUAGUUCGGAUUGAGGGCUGCAACUCGCCCUCAUGAAGCUGGAAUCCGUAGUAAUCGCGUUUCAACAGAACGCGGUGAAUACGUCCCUGCUCCUU
rnacentral:rRNA from 1 species